rnacentral:rRNA from 1 species
ACAGCAGCAGCCGCGUUAAUACAGAGGGUGCGAGCGUUAAUCGGAUUUACUGGGCGUAAAGCGUGCGUAGGCGGCUUCUUAAGUCGGAUGUGAAAUCCCUGAGCUUAACUUAGGAAUUGCAUUCGAUACUGGGAAGCUAGAGUAUGGGAGAGGAUGGUAGAAUUCCAGGUGUAGCGGUGAAAUGCGUAGAGAUCUGGAGGAAUACCGAUGGCGAAGGCAGCCAUCUGGCCUAAUACUGACGCUGAGGUACGAAAGCAUGGGGAGCAAACAGGAUUAGAUACCCCAGUAGUCCCUGUCUCUUAUAC